UCGCUCAGGCCUCUCCACAUGAGUUCGAACUAAUCUUUCGCCUUUUACUAAAGAUUACCGUGCGGAGGGGCAUUUUGAUGAGCCUAUAGGCCAAUUUUUGUAAGGUCUUGCCCGUUCGGGCAAGG